rnacentral:rRNA from 1 species
CGCCUGGGGAGUGCGGUCGCAAGAUUAAAACUCAAAUGAAUUGACGGGGGCCCGCACAAGCGGUGGAGCAUGUGGUUUAAUUCGAUGCAACGCGAAGAACCUUACCUACUCUUGACAUCCAGAGAACCUUUUAGAGAUAGAAGGGUGCCUUCGGGAACUCUGAGACAGGUGCUGCAUGGCUGUCGUCAGCUCGUGUUGUGAAAUGUUGGGUUAAGUCCCGCAACGAGCGCAACCCUUAUCCUUGUUUGCCAGCACUUCGGGUGGGAACUCCAGGGAGACUGCCGGUGAUAAACCGGAGGAAGGUGAGGACGACGUCAAGUCAUCAUGGCCCUUACGAGUAGGGCUACACACGUGCUAAAAUGGCAUAUACAGAGGGCUGCCAACUCGCGAGAGUGAGCGAAUCCCAUAAAGUAUGUCGUAGUCCGGAUUGGAGUCUGCAACUCGACUCCAUGAAGUCGGAAUCGCUAGUAAUCGUGGAUCAGAAUGCCACGGUGAAUACGUUCCCGGGCCUUGAACACACCGCCCGUC